rnacentral:rRNA from 1 species
CCUACGGGGGGCAGCAGUGGGGAAUAUUGCACAAUGGGGGAAACCCUGAUGCAGCGACGCCGCGUGAGUGAGGAAGUAUUUCGGUAUGUAAAGCUCUAUCAGCAGGGAAGAAAAUGACGGUACCUGACUAAGAAGCCCCGGCUAACUACGUGCCAGCAGCCGCGGUAAUACGGAGGAUGCGAGCGUUAUCCGGAUUUAUUGGGUUUAAAGGGUGCGUAGGCGGUCCGGAAAGACAGCGGUAAAAACCCGGGGCUCAAACCCGGCGAGCCGUUGA